rnacentral:rRNA from 1 species
GUGUAUCAUUACCGGAGGUAAAGCACUGAAUGGCCUAGGGCCCUAACGGGUACCGAAGCCUAUCAAACUAAGAAUGCCGGCUAAUGCGAGCACAGCAGUCAGACUAUGGGAGAUAAGUUUCAUAGUCAAAAGGGAAACAGCCCAGACCCACAGCUAAGGUCCCAAAUAUGAUUUAAGUGGAAAACGAUGUGGGGUUGCGAAAACAACCAGGAUGUUGGCUUAGAAGCAGCCACUCAUUUAAAGAGUGCGUAAUAGCUCACUGGUCGAGUGACCCUGCGCGGAAAAUUCAACGGGGCUAAAAUCAUAACCGAAGCUUGGGAUAUACUAAUGUAUAUGGUAGGGGAGCGUUGUGUAAGGGGUGAAGUCAUAGCGGAAGCGGUGGUGGACUUUACACAAGUGAGAAUGCCGGAAUGAGUAGCGCGAAUUAUGUGAGAAUCAUAAUGGCCGAAAGUCUAAGGUUUUUGGAGGAAGGUUCGUCCGCUCCAAGUUAGUCGGGAGCUAAGGUCAGGCCGAAAGGCGUAGCCGAUGCACAUACGGUAGACAUUCCGUAACCGUCGAAGUAUUUAAACAAAGGGACACUUUGGGAAGGUACAAGCCAGGCGUUGGUAGCCCUGGUCGUAAGGGACUGAAGUUUAGUAAGGAAGUGUACUGGAACAGAGGCGAGAAAAGCUUUGUGUAUAUACAAGAUGCCCGUACCGCAAACCGACACAGGUAGAUGGGAAGAGAAUUCUAAGGCCAACGGGAGAAGGGUUGUUAAGGAACUCGGCAAGUUGACCCCGUAACUUCGGAAGAAGGGGUGCUCCAGAAAUGGAGCCGCAGAGAAUAGGUCCAGGCGACUGUUUAGCAAAAACACAGCUCUAUGCUAAAUCGAAAGAUGAUGUAUAUGGGGUGACACCUGCCCGGUGCUGGAAGGUUAAGAGGAGAUGUGCAAGCAUUGAAUUGAAGCCCCAGUAAACGGCGGCCGUAACUAUAACGGUCCUAAGGUAGCGAAAUUCCUUGUCAGGUAAGUUCUGACCCGCACGAAUGGUGUAACGAUCUGGACACUGUCUCAACAACCCGCCCGGCGAAAUUGUAGUACCGGUGAAGAUGCCGGUUACCCGCGACAAGACGGAAAGACCCCAUGGAGCUUUACUGUAGCUUAAUAUUGGAUUUUGAUAUUUCAUGUACAGAAUAGGUGGGAGACUGAGAAACAGGAGCGUCAGCUUCUGCGGAGUCGCCUUUGGGAUACCACUCUUGAAGUGUUGAAAUUCUAACCUGCAGCCGUGAAUCCGGCUGGGGGACAUUGUUAGGUGGGCAGUUUGACUGGGGCGGUCGCCUCCAAAAAGGUAUCGGAGGCGCUCAAAGGUUCGCUCAGCAUGGACGGAAACCAUGCCCCUGAGUGUAAACGCAUAAGCGAGCCUAACUGCGAGACGGACAGGUCGAGCAGUAACGAAAGUUGGAGUUAGUGAUCCGGCGGUAUGUGAGUGGAAAU